rnacentral:lncRNA from 1 species
GUUGGAAAUUCAUUUUAUUGCAUUUGAAUACUUAUUCUCAUGAAUACAAAUUUUCUUUGAUUGUGUUUUUUUGGAUAUUUGAUGUCUUGGUUUUGCCAAUGUCUGCAUUCAAAGCUUUAGAAAUUUUAUACUUUUUGUUAAACAUUAAAUUUAAGUAAUAUUCAGACAUUAUAUUUAUGGUUAACUUAUGCCCAAAAAUACAUGAAAAUACUCUCUCUGGUAUAAAUGAUAUAGUAAAUAGUAACACCAGAUUGGUUUGUCAUAUUAUGAUCAUAUGGUGAAUAUAUUACAUUGAAUAUAUCUUACCUUUCCCCCCUACAACACCUCUGUAGUCUUAAUCAAGAAUUUUGAAUUCUAUAUAUAUAAAUACCAUCUUUCCUUUCCAUUAUUGAUUUUGCUUUUGAUAGACAACUUAUUUCUGCUUUGUUUGCCGUCUUAUUAUAUAAACUAGAAUGAUCAGUAUUAGAAAUGGGUAUUCUUCUGACUUUUUGUCCAAAAAUUAGAAAGCCACAGUAGGUGAAAAUGAGUAGACAUGUUGAAUAAUUUUUGUUUUACUUAAAAUGUAUAUGUAUCAAGUGCUUAUUUUGCUUACAUUAAGUGCUCCCUUGUAAUAUCUACCUUAAAUGUUCAAUUCUGAGCUUACGUCAGUAAACUUUACACUGCCAUUUACAUUUUUGAAAGAGUUUUCAGUACUGGAUUUGAUUGUAACACAGUGAUUCAAACUAUUAAAUAGUGAAAGACAAACAAGAAGAUUUUUAUGUUAAUCUUGUAUUGAACAGCAUUAUAAAACUAGUUAUUGCAUAAUUGUAAGCAAAGAUGGAUGGUGCUUUUUUUUUAUAAAGAAUAUGAAAGUCUUUGCAAAACAAUUCAAACUUAGUGUGUAAUUGUUAUUCUUAAAUAAAUGUUAUUAAGA